GGACAAGUAACUUAGUGGUCAGUGCCUGCUUAGCAUGCAUGAGGCCCUGGGUUUGAUCCCCAGUUUGACAA
rfam:Ictidomys tridecemlineatus contig064031, whole genome shotgun sequence.